GUGCUCGCUUCGGCAAUAUACAUACUAAAAUUGGAAUGAUACAGAGAAGAUUAGCAUGGCCCCUCCACAAGGAUGACAUGCAAAUUUGUGAAGCAUUCCAUAUUUUU